GGGGAAAGAGGAAAUCAUGUCAGCCAGGCACCUGGUGAAUCAGUUGUCAAGCAGGUUGUAAUGUGUCAUAAAUUCAAUGUCUAUAUUGAGUCCAUGAUUUUUUGUACCCAGUAGAUUUA